rnacentral:rRNA from 5 species
CGACUCUCGGCAACGGAUAUCUCGGCUCUCGCAUCGAUGAAGAACGUAGCGAAAUGCGAUACCUGGUGUGAAUUGCAGAAUCCCGCGAACCAUCGAGUCUUUGAACGCAAGUUGCGCCCGAGGCCCUCGGGCCGAGGGCACGCCUGCCUGGGCGUCACGCCAAA